GUCGAGCGGUAGAGAGGUGCCUGCACCUCUUGAGAGCGGCGGACGGGUGAGUAAAGCCUAGGAAUCUGCCUGGUAGUGGGGGAUAACGCUCGGAAACGGACGCUAAUACCGCAUACGUCCUACGGGAGAAAGCAGGGGACCUUCGGGCCUUGCGCUAUCAGAUGAGCCUAGGUCGGAUUAGCUAGUUGGUGAGGUAAUGGCUCACCAAGGCGACGAUCCGUAACUGGUCUGAGAGGAUGAUCAGUCACACUGGAACUGAGACACGGUCCAGACUCCUACGGGAGGCAGCAGUGGGGAAUAUUGGACAAUGGGCGAAAGCCUGAUCCAGCCAUGCCGCGUGUGUGAAGAAGGUCUUCGGAUUGUAAAGCACUUUAAGUUGGGAGGAAGGGCAUUAACCUAAUACGUUAGUGUUUUGACGUUACCGACAGAAUAAGCACCGGCUAACUCUGUGCCAGCAGCCGCGGUAAUACAGAGGGUGCAAGCGUUAAUCGGAAUUACUGGGCGUAAAGCGCGCGUAGGUGGUUCGUUAAGUUGGAUGUGAAAUCCCCGGGCUCAACCUGGAACUGCAUUCAAAACUGUCGAGCUAGAGUAUGGUAGAGGGGUGGGUGGAAUUUCCUGUGUAGCGGUGAAAUGCGUAGAUAUAGGAAGGGAACACGCAGUGGGCGAAAGCGACCACCUGGACU
rnacentral:rRNA from 1 species